UACAGAGGGUGCGAGCGUUGUUCGGAAUUACUGGGCGUAAAGCGCCCGUAGGCGGCUUAAUAAGUUGGACGUGAAAGCUCCCGGCUUAACUGGGAGAGGCCGUUCAAAACUGUAAGGCUAGAGUGAGGCAGAGGAGCGCGGAAUUCCCGGUGUAGUGGUGGAAUGCGUAGAUAUCGGGAGGAACACCAGUGGCGAAAGCGGCGCUCUGGGCCUAAACUGACGCUGAGGGGCGAAAGCGUGGGGAGCGAACGGG
rnacentral:rRNA from 1 species